ensembl:lncRNA
UUCUUAAAAGAUACAAAGUUUUAUUAAACAAACCUGGAAUCAAUAGUCUUAUUACAUAAAUUAGACAGCAGUAAAAUUUUCCUAGAGUAUAUAUACAAAUCACAGUGAUUUUCAUUGUGCAAGGAAUUGACAGGAAUAGAAACAGGCUUUUUUUCUUCUUCCACAUGAGAAGCUGGGAUCACCCCGCAGGGACCCAUCCCAGGGGUGCACCACACCUGCAAAGGCACUCCAUCUUGUGUCUGUGACACACCCGACAGCAGUCACAUGGCCCUGGAGGUGCGUGGGCAACUGGGCCAGGCUGCCCAUAGUACGGCGCAAAAACGAAGGAAGCUGUGACAGCUCUGCAGAGCUGAGAAACAGUCUCAGAGGACAAGGGAAGACUGCGUGUCCAGUGGCUUCAAAUCCCAUCUGGUAAAACACACACUUAAUGACUUUUACUUAAAUAACAAGUGUCCACCACAGAAGAUCAAACACAAGCGCAACAGAAUAUCUUAAAACACAAUAAUUUAUAGCAAACUGUUACAGAGCAUUUCUCCUUUAUUAUGAAGGACUGUUCCCUUGGAUGCAAGCCCACAGGGUGUGCAAAGCACACUUGCUAUGAAGACGUUGUGGUGGGUAAAAACAACCCUCAAACACCCCACCUCCACCAAGACACACACACGCGCACACACACGUCCCCCAAACGAGCUAUCCAAAUACAUUAUUAACACAACUAUUCAUGUGCUUUCCUUUUAGUUUUUUGGUAAGUGGACAUCAUCAACUCAACCUGGAUUUAUUCAGAAACGGGGACACACGGUGCAAUACACGGAACUUGCCCAACGUGUGUAAAAUACACGUUAGGGAGAUGGACCAACGAGAGAAGCACAAUCUACGUGUCUCUACAGAUCUCUACAAUUGGAGCAAUCAAGGGCUUCUGUGAUGGUGUUAAUUUGGGGAUGCAAAAUGAACUGGCCGGAAAAAAAAAAUCCACCCAAUUCUUUUCCUGCACUAGUAGCUGGAGUGAGGAUUUUGAUGUCCUAAUGGGAUCUGACGCAGCCUGAAGUGCUCACAUGGGUCAGCAGCCCUUGGUGCCUAAAGAAUGGUGCACUGGGGUCUUUAGUUAACAGCAUUGAGCCAUAUUUUCACAGUUCAAGUGGUCCAAAAUCUAGAGGCAACUUAGGUCAACGUAGAAAUGGCAAAUGCAUCCCACAUAACUCAACUGUUUAGCACGACUGGUGAUUCUGUCAUUGGUAACAAGUUAGACUUUAAGUAUAGAUGCCUAGAAUGAAACAAAACAUACUAGAUACUUAUGAACAGGUGAUGCGGAACUGCUCCACAGGCAGAGAUAGGAAGCAGAGUUUUAAAUCACUGAGAUGGCGUGAAGUGGGCACGCGUAUCUUGUUGCUGGGGCUUCUUGCAUAUUCUGUUGUGUUGACAGCAGAAAUCAUGAUUUGCCCGUUGCUGCAACAGAUACGUUUACGCUGAGCAGGAUUCUGACUUCUGCCAUGGAGGAAGUGGAAGUCAGCAAUGCAAAUUGUAUGAUAUGCUGUACGACCAGGGUGAUUUUAUUUCCUUCUUAUCUUUACAGACGCACAUCAAAGCAGGCUUGUGACAUUCCCCUUAGGAAAACAUGACCCGCCUCAGUAUACUACUUCUUGCAAAAUAUGCAUUGCCUAAACAUUUUUUUUAAAUAGUGUUCUUAUUUAAGAAAACUGCCAACACACAAAAUUGCAUAAAACAAAUCUGUAAUUUUUUAGAUCUGAAUUUUGUGAUUAUUUCCAUGAACUUUCUUCAAAGCUUUGCACACUGAUGAUAUUUGAUCAGAUACAUGAAAAUUUCAGAAUGUCUCCACUGAAUAACUAUUUUUCAAUUACAUGUGGUGACUGUUUCAUGUGUUUGGGACUCAUUUUGAUUAAACCAGUCUUUGCACUAUAUCACACCACUUAAUUUAUAGCCCAGCCAUGGGCAGUUAACACACGGCAUGUACCACUUUGCAUAGUGAAAUGGGCACAAUCGUCCAAGGUGAAUUUAACACCAUUAGGUAUUCUUGGAAUUCCUUUUAAUUUUUACUUUGUUUUACAUGGCCGAUGGCUUAUGACAACAUUUUUAAGGAUUACAUUAAUGUAAUCAAUGCAUUCAAACAUUUGUUUUUCCUGCAUAUUUGUUCAAAAUUAAGGCAAUGUAUCUCAAGGCUUUCUUGAUGCUAUUUUCAUCUCAUAUAUUAAAUUAUGGACAGUAAGAAUUAAAUCUAAAAAUAUGCAUAUGGGUCCAUGUGUCUAUGUACAAUGUUUCAUUGCAUUCAAGGUGUUUCAUUUAUUUUUUAUUUUUUUAAGCAGAAGCCUCCACAAUAAUGAUAAUUUAUCUUUAUAGUGAGAGGAUGUGAAACAUGUUUUUUUCCUUCUAGGUCCAUACCUCAGUGCACAAAGUCACUUUGCCAAUUUAUCCUUCUAACGUUCAAUAAUGAAAUCAUUCAGAAAUCGCACUCUAAAUUUUUAGCCCAUUUUGGCCCGCCACUUAAUCCCAACAGGAUGGUGACCGAGCAGUACAGAGUGAAAAUACAAUUCUGUUGGAACACUUACAGAGCGCACCCUUGGAAAAUAAUUUUUCAUUGAGUUACUCAUCGUAAAGAGUAUAUUUUUUACUAAAUCUUGUACUCACUCUCACCAACUGAGUUGAUUUUAAUUUUAAUUCAAAGAACAGGGCACUUAUGAGAAGGGAAGGGAAUAUUUAGCAUCUUCCAUUUCAUUGUCUUUUAAAGCUUUCCUAGGUGUGAAUUCUCUUGAUUCAUCCUUCAAUAUACAGAGCCCUUGCCUUCUGAUUUGUGAGUGGAAUCUGGCCAAAUCUGAUGAGCAUUUCCUUUGACAUUUUGCUACUUAAAAAAAAAUGUAUGACUUUGCCAAACGGCAGGUCUCCACACCCCUAGCUGUGCCUGCAGAAGAGAAAGGGGGCCAAGCACUAUGGGAAGAAAUGCCUUCCUGGACACGGCAUGGAAAAACCACAGCGGAGGGUAAGAACCUGCCAGGUGACUCAAGAAAAGCAGAGCUGCAGAGGCUGAGAGGCACCUAGUCUUCCUUCUCCCUGCACCCAUUCUCCCCAGCAUACCCCCAGGUCAGACUCUGCCCCCAUCCUGGCUGCUGAAGGAGCUGGACCUUUCUGGAAGAGCAUGAGGGAAAAAGGAGGUUGAGGGGGUGAUCUUGGAGGUCUGUGAAGGCGUACCCCUGAAGACUCUAGAAUCUACUUAAAUGCACAGACCUCCACGGGGAGGUCAUGGAUGAGCCCUAUGACCAGAAACACAACAGAUUCGUGCAACUCUGUUUUUUGAGCUGAGACAGAAUCAACAGAGAAUGGCAGCCCAUUGAGAUAUUUACAGCCAAGUUCAGAACCAGGAAGGAGAAGCAUAAGAGAGAAGGAAGUGAAUUCUGGGCAGCACAGACUCCAAGGACCUCUAUCCACGCCCUGUUUCUGGGAAGUCCCGUUAUUUAGCAAUAUACUCCUCGUGGCCCACUCCACAUCUGGCUUUCAUUAAGUCAGUCCUUAGGGGAAGAUGAUGCAGAGUACUCUUCAGAGUAUCUUCAUGAUCAGGUCCAAAAACAAAAAAAAAUCUCACCCACUGAUAAUUCUGCAGAAGCCCACCCGAUUUACGAGACGAGAGUGUGUGAGAUGGACUCAGGCUGACCCUUUACAAGGAGAAAUGAAACUAAGCAGAAACAAUCUGCACGCUUACGUCCUAGAGAGCAUUUGUUUCUUACUUUUCCCAAAACGAAAGGUAAAAGAAAACGUUUGCAUGAAGGUAGUCCGUGGGACUGAGCCGGUAUAGAAAGUCAUUUGUCAGCUUUGGGAGGUGUAUUUUGUUCAUGAUAUUCAAACUGGAAUUUUAAUAGGUAGCCACCUCUCUCCGGAGUACAAAAUUUUUGAAUGCAAUACAGAAAAUUUCCUGAAUGCAUUUCUUUCCUUGAACAACUUUUAUAGUCAUUGGCUCGUCUUGGAUUAAAAUUCAAACCCACAUCUCCUGCCCUCUCCUUCCAGUUUCAAGACCUAAAGUGACCAGAUAGGAAGCACUAAAGAUAUUGGAUGUGGACCACCACAAGAUAUUUUCUUCACAAAUAACUAUAAAAUGCAGAUAAGAUGAUAAAAAAAAAAUGCACAGGUCAUAGUUUUUAGAUUUCGUCCCCAAGAGAACAGAUUCUUGAAAAAAAAAAUUUGAAAAAUAAAAACCACAGGCUCUGCAAAGUAUGAACAGUUACAUCACUGCAUAAUUCCUGUGCGCCAGUCAUAUCGUCUUUUUUACACACGCAACUGCACACGCACAUACACGCAAUCUGUGGUUCUAAUGGAGCACGUUCAGAUCAAACUUAUAAAGUUGAGUCUAUGAGAAAUACCCAGAUAUCACAGUAGGAACACACGCUAGAAGGUCACAUAAAAUCUACAACGGAACAAUUUUUCAUAACUUCCUACUGUGCAGUAGAUUUCCAGUUGCUUAAAUAACUCAGGGUCCAUGAAUUUCUCCAACCUCUUUAUAUACAUCCGGGCGUGGAUAACGGUGGAAAUGUCCUCAUCUCAUCAAGAAGACGCUUCUUCAGGUCUGCUUAUGAGCAGUUCCUCAUCCCAGGCAGGCUCAAA